rnacentral:rRNA from 1 species
CCAAUAGCGUAUAUUAAAGUUGCUGCAGUUAAAAAGCUCGUAGUUGAAUUUCGGGACCAUCAUGUCGGUCGUGCUUCGGUACGUACUGGCAUUGUUGGUUUCUACCUUCUGACGAACCAUGAUGUCAUUUAUUUGGUGUCGUGGGAAAUCAGGACUGUUACUUUGAAAAAAUUAGAGUGUUUAAAGCAGGCUCACGCUUGAAUACAUUAGCAUGGAAUAAUGAAAUAGGACGUUUGAUUCUAUUUUGUUGGUUUCUAGGAUCGACGUAAUGAUUAAUAGGGAUAGUUGGGGGCAUUAGUAUUCAAUUGUCAGAGGUGAAAUUCUUGGAUUUAUUGAAGACUAACUACUGCGAAAGCAUUUGCCAAGGAUGUUUUCAUUAAUCAAGAACGAAAGUUAGGGGAUCGAAGACGAUCAGAUACCGUCGUAGUCUUAACCAUAAACUAUGCCGACUAGGGAUCGGAUGAUGUUAAUUUUUUAAUGACUCAUUCGGCGCCUUACG